AUGCAAGUCGAGCGGUAACAGAGAGUAGCUUGCUACUUUGCUGACGAGCGGCGGACGGGUGAGUAAUGCUUGGGAACAUGCCUUGAGGUGGGGGACAACAGUUGGAAACGACUGCUAAUACCGCAUAAUGUCUACGGACCAAAGGGGGCUUCGGCUCUCGCCUUUAGAUUGGCCCAAGUGGGAUUAGCUAGUUGGUGAGGUAAUGGCUCACCAAGGCGACGAUCCCUAGCUGGUUUGAGAGGAUGAUCAGCCACACUGGGACUGAGACACGGCCCAGACUCCUACGGGAGGCAGCAGUGGGGAAUAUUGCACAAUGGGCGCAAGCCUGAUGCAGCCAUGCCGCGUGUGUGAAGAAGGCCUUCGGGUUGUAAAGCACUUUCAGUCAGGAGGAAAGGUUAACGGUUAAUACCCGUUAGCUGUGACGUUACUGACAGAAGAAGCACCGGCUAACUCCGUGCCAGCAGCCGCGGUAAUACGGAGGGUGCGAGCGUUAAUCGGAAUUACUGGGCGUAAAGCGUACGCAGGCGGUUUGUUAAGCGAGAUGUGAAAGCCCCGGGCUCAACCUGGGAACUGCAUUUCGAACUGGCAAACUAGAGUGUGAUAGAGGGUGGUAGAAUUUCAGGUGUAGCGGUGAAAUGCGUAGAGAUCUGAAGGAAUACCGAUGGCGAAGGCAGCCACCUGGGUCAACACUGACGCUCAUGUACGAAAGCGUGGGGAGCAAACGGGAUUAGAUACCCCGGUAGUCCACGCCGUAAACGAUGUCUACUAGAAGCUCGGAGCCUCGGUUCUGUUUUUCAAAGCUAACGCAUUAAGUAGACCGCCUGGGGAGUACGGCCGCAAGGUUAAAACUCAAAUGAAUUGACGGGGGCCCGCACAAGCGGUGGAGCAUGUGGUUUAAUUCGAUGCACGCGAAGAACCUUACCUACCACUUGACAUACAGAUACUUACAG
rnacentral:rRNA from 1 species